CCGCAGGCUGGUGGAGCGCCUUGCCCGAAAGCUCAGCCCAGAAAAUCAUGCAGAGGAGGAGAACAAAGAAGAAAAAGCAUCAAUGGACCCCAGCCUGAGCACAGAGCUACAAGAAAAAGAGAGUGUGAAUGAAGCCCUGAAGGGGUCAGUGGAUGAAGGCCCUGUGACUUCUUCCAGUCACCAGUACCCGUCUGGUUCCCACGAGCCUCCCAGCACCAAUGUUUUCUUGUCUGAGGAGCACGAAGACUUCUCUGCUCUGGUUGCAGCUACUGAGUACUCCCAUCAACAGGAGAAGAAAGCUCCAACAGGUCUCCCAGAAACUCAAAAAGAUCAGAAGGAUGAGGAAAGAGAUGAGCCAACAGCCCCCAGGGAGCUGCAGGAGGAGGAGGAAAUGGAUGAUGCGUGUCAGGAUUCUUUGGAUGAAAAGUAUUUGGCUCUUUCCAGUCACCAUGACUUGUCUGACU
rnacentral:lncRNA from 1 species